GGGGUGGCGGCGCCAUCUUGGGGGCCGGCCUGAAGCGGGAGCGGCCUGGGCUGCUCGGCGGUGGGUGCUGCCUCUUGCUCACAGCAGCUCGGGGCUCGUCUGCUUCCCAGCAGGGAGCGCAGGGGACACAGCUGUCGUCGCCUGGUGCCGGGGUGGGAGGCCGGCGGUGCAGGCCCCUGUCCCCACAGGUGUCAGCAGCACCAGCCCCAGUGGCAGGUCGGGUACUUCGGGGGAGUUGCCAUCCCCGAGCACAAGCUCUGUCUGCAUCCAUCAAAAAUUAGCAGCUUCCAGAGCGAAACCAACAAGUCUAUCUACAAAGGGAGACCCUAAGCGCCUCUCCAUAUCGUAAUCGGCAUGUGGAGGUGUGCAAGGUGGGCGCUACUGCCUGCACUCAGGGCUGUAAGAAGGCAGGACGACUGCAAAUCCUUUGCCAGGCUCCGAGGCUGCUGCGCAUUCGAAAGCCUUCAAGCACUGUGAGGGCCUGCCCAGGCAGACUCCGCACGCCCAAGACAAAGCCCUGACCUGCUGUUAGCUGCAGCCCGGCCUCCUCACAGGCCCUGGUGAUGAGAAAACACGUGCUUUGGAUACAGAUCCGUUCCAGUUCCAAAGAGGCAGCAGCAGCGAUGCCGCCCCGAGGAACAGCUCUCCAUGGGGCAGACCUGCCUCCGAGCACAGACAGCGACCACCAGCGGAACUGU